rnacentral:lncRNA from 8 species
CAUCUUGGCGGCAUCUUGGAUGUUGUUUAAAGGGUUUCCUGUGGGAGAUAUUUGUGCUGUGGCGAGUUGAGCAUCACCACACACUUUUGUUCGGAUAGACACCACACAGUUCAGGAUAUGUGGGAGGCAGGGCCCAGAGAUUAGGAGGCUAUCUCCUAUCCUGCAGCGGUUCUUCAGGGCCUGAAGACAGGAAGGAAGGCCGGGGCAGUGGAACCAGGGUUGCAGCGGCUCCUGCCAAAGGGACAGAAAGGGCCUGUCUGCAGCGACCCAGACCUAGACCAGCGCUUUGGAAAAACACACAGGAACCCAGGGACACCAACUGCAUGACAAACACCUCACAGAGAGAGAGAGAGAGAGAAACAGAGCCAGUUAAUGACAAAGAUAGAGAGAGGGUGAGAGAGAGAGGGGAUAGAGCAAAGGGAUGCAAGAGAGAGAGAGAUAGGCAGAAGAACAAUAUCUUGCUCUGGGGGACCCCCUAAGCCUGCCAAAUGAGCUCCCUAGUCGGCUCUGCCUCUGUCCUCUGUCCCUCUAUUGCCUCUUGUUACACACAUAGAUUCAGCUGAGUCAGAGUCUAUUCAGGCCUCAACCCCCUGACAUACACAGACACACAGCUAAAGACCUCCAGAACAGAGCCAGGAAAACUCCUCAGCAAUACCCCUCAAUGAUGCCAGGACUCAGCCUCAGCUCCACUCCCCUCUCCCCUACCCAUUUCAGACAGAAAAUGUAGUAAAUUAACUGUAAAAAAAAAUAAAAAAUAAGACAAUGUGUCCUUCCACCCACCUGGCCUCUACUCCAUAGAGGAAAAUGUAACCAUCCAACUGGUUUGUUCCUCUCAUUCUAUUUAAGUAAGCAAGAAUUUGCCCUACAGGAUACAUACUGUACAGAGAGAAAGAGAGAGAGAGAGUUCAGGGCCAGCUGGGAGGUCAGGGGUUGGAAUUUUUCCUAGGUUACUGAACCAAAGGAAGGGCACUCAGUGUACAUAUGUCAAGAAAGUUCAGGAAAACAGCAACAGAUUAGUAUAAUUUAUGAUGUGCAAGCCUUUAAGAACUCUGCAGUAAAGUGUGUUUCUCAAUGACUAGAAGGAAAGUUAAUAAUAGUCCUAUUCACAUUCAGUAAGAGAACUGAGAGAGAGAGAGCUUGGCACUUGAUCAAAACAGGC